AUGUUUAAUUUAAAAAUUCAGUCUUUAGGGUUCUUGACAUCAAUACUAGUUUUUUUUUACAAAUGUUGUUCUACAUUUUGGAUUUUGUAUUUAGGAAGGGCAAAAGUUUACAUAAUUUUUGAGACAUUCGGACAAAUUGGUGGGUCUCUCUCUGUUAUGUUGAUCUGCAACAUGGUUUGCAGAAUUAUGCUAUAUUAUUUCUUUCUUCUUGGUUCUUUAUUUACAAGCUAUAUGUCAGUUUAA